rnacentral:rRNA from 1 species
UGAGGAAUAUUGGUCAAUGGGCGAGAGCCUGAACCAGCCAUCCCGCGUGAAGGAAGAAGGCGCUAUGCGUUGUAAACUUCUUUUUCAGGGGGAUAAAAUUCUGUAUGAAUACGGAACUGAAGGUACCCUGAGAAUAAGCAUCGGCUAACUCCGUGCCAGCAGCCGCGGUAAUACGGAGGAUGCGAGCGUUAUCCGGAUUUAUUGGGUUUAAAGGGUGCGUAGGCGGAAGAAUAAGUCAGUGGUGAAACCCUGCAGCUUAACUGUAGACUUGCCAUUGAUACUGUUUUUCUUGAGUAUGGUCAAGGCAGGCGGAAUGUGUAAUGUAGCGGUGAAAUGCUUAGAUAUUACACAGAACACCGAUAGCGAAGGCAGCUUGCUGGGCCGUUACUGACGCUGAUGCACGAAAGCGUGGGGAUCGAACAGG